UAGCCUACGUUUUCAGAUUCUGUGAACACCCUGAAAAUAUCCACGAGAUCAUUUGGAGGGACAACUGGAUGACACCCCCCACAUGUCUCAUCCUUCCACAAUCAGCCAAGAAGUUCCAGGUGACACCAGAGGUGAUUAGGAAUGACCUAACGUGAACCCCAGAGUGCACGUAAGGUGGACUCAAAAUAGACAGAGGAGACCAUUUGUGAGAACAGCCAAGAGUACACAUUAUCCAGCCUGGAUAUGAAGCAAGGUAGAGUCCAGGGCUUCUCUCUCAACAGCAAAUCAAGUCACAACACAGGCAAAUCAACUGAGGGGCCACAUUCCUGACACCCCACUGUGUGCACCCCAUACCACAGGCAAGUGGAAUGCCUGUGGAAGGAUGCCCAUCUUGAGUUGUUGCAGAAGUUUUAAAGAAAAAAGAACGGAUGGCGAUGAUCAAACAAAAAUAAGAGCACUCUACCAGGUACAGAGAAUUUCAAAAGGAGGAUGUGUCAGAGUAGCAGUUAAAGGAGAGUGUGGAUUGGUGAAGAAGAAAGUCAUUGCUUAAAACAACAGAAGGAAACCUUGGAGGAUGUCCUCUGACAUUUGGGAUUCCCGAAUUUUCAGGGAAAUACUUUCCUGAACAAUCAUGUUCUGCUCAACUCAGGAAGUAGUUCUUAUAUAUUUUAUAUCUAUCUAAUAUUGGGGAAAAUAUGCUAGAAUACAUAGACUAAAUAGUUGGUUAAUUAAGAUUAUUUUUCUCUCCCAAAACAGCCUUGGGGAUUUUGAGGCAUGAAGCAUUCCCAGGCCUUGUUUGCU